GAUGAACGCUAGCGGCAGGCCUAAUACAUGCAAGUCAAACGGGUAGCAAUACCAGUGGCGUACGGGUGCGUAACGCGUAUGCAACCCACCUUUCACAGGAGGACAACAGCGGGAAACUGCUGCUAAUACUCCGUAUUACUUUGAUGCGGCAUCGUGUUGAAGUGAAAGAAGCAAUUUGGUGAGAGAUGGGCAUGCGUUCGAUUAGCUAGUUGGUGCGGGUAACGGCCCACCAAGGCGACGAUCGAUAGGGGCUCUGAGAGGAGAAUCCCCCACACUGGCACUGAGAUACGGGCCAGACUCCUACGGGAGGCAGCAGUAGGGAAUAUUGGGCAUGGAGGGAACUCUGACCCAGCCAUGCCGCGUGCAGGAAGAAGGCCCUCUGGGUUGUAAACUGCUUUUGAUAGGGAAGAAAGAGGUUAUGCGUAACCAGUUGACGGUACCUAUCGAAUAAGCACCGGCUAACUACGUGCCAGCAGCCGCGGUAACAC
rnacentral:rRNA from 1 species